AACCUAAAGCGGGACAGACAGACGGACGAACGGAGGAACGGACGAAUGAAUGAACGGACGAAUGGACGAAUGAACGAACUGACGAACGGGCGAAUGUACGAACGAACGCAUAGACUAGAAAACAUAAUGCCCAUUAAUGGGACAUGAAAAAUAACAAAUUAAAAUGUAUUGGUUACGACAUAUGAGUAUUAAAAACAUUUUUUAGGCCCCCUUCGUUAUGCGAUUGGGGCAUUUAGUCUUUUCCUUGUCCGUCAGUCCAUCCGUCGUGUACGUUCCCAGAACUAGUUUCAACUUACACAAUCCUAAUUACUACAAAACAAAGAUCAAAUUUGAAAUUGAAGGGCGUCUCUUUUACCGUUCUUGAGCAAUACCCCUUUAUAAAUGGACAAAGACUUGGCGCUAAAUCUGUCGUUUCCGGUCUCUACAUUUAGUUCGCCAAAUGUUAUUGAACAACAACACAAUGUUAAUUAACCUAAAACACAGAUCAAGUUUGAAAUUGGAUGUCGUCUUUUUUACCGUUCUUGAGUUAUGUCCAUUUAGUGUCCAAUUACAAAAAAAAAAAAAAAACAAACAAUGUCCCAAAGUAAGUGAUUCAAUAUUUUUGGCUUUUUUCAAAUAAAAACGUUAUAAUUGUUAAAUUGCUGGUGUUCAAUUUUGUUUCACUUUGGUUAAAAGGUUUCAGUAAAAAAGAUUUUCGUAAAAGAAAAUGAACAGCAACGGGGGCAAAGUGAGGAGA
rnacentral:lncRNA from 1 species